rnacentral:rRNA from 1 species
GAUGAACGCUAGCUACAGGCUUAACACAUGCAAGUCGAGGGGAAACGACAUCGAAAGCUUGCUUUUGAUGGGCGUCGACCGGCGCACGGGUGAGUAACGCGUAUCCAACCUGCCCAUCACUUGGGAAUAACCUUGCGAAAGUAAGACUAAUACCCAAUGACAUCCCACGAAGACAUCUGAAUGGGAUUAAAGAUUUAUCGGUGAUGGAUGGGGAUGCGUCUGAUUAGCUUGUUGGCGGUGUAACGGCCCACCAAGGCAACGAUCAGUAGGGGUUCUGAGAGGAAGGUCCCCCACAUUGGAACUGAGACACGGUCCAAACUCCUACGGGAGGCAGCAGUGAGGAAUAUUGGUCAAUGGGCGAGAGCCUGAACCAGCCAAGUAGCGUGCAGGAUGACGGCCCUAUGGGUUGUAAACUGCUUUUAUAAGGGAAUAAAGUGGGUCUCGUGAGACUUUUUGCAUGUACCUGAUGAAUAAGGACCGGCUAAUUCCGUG